UCCCUGCUUCCUACAAACGGUAUAAUUUAGCUUUCUCUGUUGAAUGCAACACAUUUUAGUCAAAUAGGUUC
rnacentral:lncRNA from 1 species